UACGUAGGGGGCAAGCGUUGUCCGGAUUUAUUGGGCGUAAAGCGCUCGCAGGCGGCUUGAUGCGUCGUGCGUGAAACACCCCGGCUCAACUGGGGAGGGUCGUGCGAUACGGUCAGGCUUGAGGCCAGUAGGGGGACGCGGAAUUCCGGGUGUAGUGGUGGAAUGCGUAGAGAUCCGGAGGAACACCAGCGGCGAAGGCGGCACUCUGGGACGUGACUGACGCUGAGA
rnacentral:rRNA from 1 species